GACACAUCAGAGUUUUUGCAUGAAAUGGUGAGGAGAGAGAACAAAUUCGUUUCAUGGCCACGACACUCGCAAGCUCUGUUUCCAACCUCUCGGUAACUGUACGACACCCGCAUUGAGGGGAGGAGAGUUUCAUCACCGAUCCCGUGCUCCACGCGCGAAGAUCCAAUCCUUCCCACUGCCGCGCGCGCGCGAUUCCUCCCGCCAUGCGCGCGAUUUCUGCUUUCCCCGCCCUGCCCGCGGCUUCAUCUCCUUCCCAUGCGCGCCUUCUUCGCGUUCCCAAUCAUGCGCGCCGCCUUCAUCUUCCCCGCCAGCGGCUUCUAGAUCCAGCGCCAUGGAUUCCGGCGCUAGCUUGGGGCGGCGAGGCAAAGGAGAGAAAGGGCGCGGACGCAGUCGCCUGGGAAUGAAGACGGCGCUCUCUCCUUCACCGCCGGCCCCUCCAGCCCCUCCGUCGGCUUUCCAAUCUGCGCCGCCGGCCCGUCCAUCUUCUUCCCCCUCUCCGGCUGCACCAACAUCUUCCCCUGCGCCGGCCCCCGUCGUGCCGGCUUCAUCCCCAACUGGCCAAGCUUCAUCCCCACCGCAAGGAGUUGGAUUGCCGCCUAUGCCACCGCAAGAAGUACGGUUGGGUGCCCUGCCCCCAAAUUUUUCAUCCGAACAAGGAAACCAGCAUGCCCCAAAUUUUUGGAUAAAAAGAACGAUGUGAAACGAAUGUGUUCCAGUGACCUGAACUACUGAAGGCUAUGUGAACUUUUGUUAUCUAUCUUAGUUUAGUAUCUGCACUACUGAAGGCUAUCUGAAGUACUGAAGGCUAUCUGAACUUUUCUUUUAUCGAUCUUAGUUUACUAUCUUAGUUCUAGUGGUUUGGUUCCUGCUUCCUCGACUGUGAUUUUGAUAUAUCUCUGUAAUGAUUUGGAUGCCUAGGACACCUGCUUCUUCUUUGAUUCGAAUCUGAAAUUAUCAACGAGCUGUAGGCAACGAUUUCUGUGAGGCAGAUCCUUUUUUCUGUAAUACGUUGCAAAAGUCUGCAUA